UGAACGCUGGCGGCAUGCUUUACACAUGCAAGUCGACCGGCAGCGCGGGCUUCGGCCUGGCGGCGAGUGGCGAACGGGUGAGUAAUGCAUCGGAACGUGCCCAGUAGUGGGGGAUAGCCCGGCGAAAGCCGGAUUAAUACCGCAUACGACCUGAGGGUGAAAGCGGGGGACCGAAAGGCCUCGCGCUAUUGGAGCGGCCGAUGUCGGAUUAGCUAGUUGGUGGGGUAAAGGCUUACCAAGGCGACGAUCCGUAGCUGGUCUGAGAGGACGACCAGCCACACUGGGACUGAGACACGGCCCAGACUCCUACGGGAGGCAGCAGUGGGGAAUUUUGGACAAUGGGGGCAACCCUGAUCCAGCCAUGCCGCGUGCGGGAAGAAGGCCUUCGGGUUGUAAACCGCUUUUGUUCGGGAAGAAAUCCUCUGGGCUAAUACCCCGGGGGGAUGACGGUACCGGAAGAAUAAGCACCGGCUAACUACGUG
rnacentral:rRNA from 1 species